rnacentral:lncRNA from 1 species
CUUGAGUUUGGGCCGUGAAGCGUGGUUGAAUUGCUCGCAGAGAAGGGGAGCACCAGCAUGCGUCCUGUUGUGGCAGGAAAACAAAACUCUCUCUCGUGUCUCCAUGUUAACACGACUGGAAAUUGAACGUAGGGGGAUCUAGCAUGUGAUUACUCUUUUUAGACAGGAUUUUCUUCAUAGCUGAAUUGGACCGAGUCCUUUUUCUCCCAAACCAGAUGGCCCUUCGUUUCUUGCAAUAUUUUGCCCUUGGAACAGGGACAGUUUGGAUCCUAGAACAUAAAAGAAGAUUGCAAGCAAUCAUGUUUCUGUAGCGUAACACUUUGUCACUCCUCAACUAAGCUUUAGGAACCAGCUGUAGGGACUCUG